rnacentral:tRNA from 1 species
GCGCUCGUAGCUCAGCUGGAUAGAGCGUCGGUCUCCGGAACCGAAGGUCAGGGGUUCGAAUCCCUUCGGGCGCGCCA